rnacentral:misc_RNA from 1 species
GGUAUAUCGUAUAUUCUGAAAAAUCAAUCAAGCUAGCAUCUAGGCAUCCUUUGUGAAUCUAGGCGCCUGGCUCCAGGCCCGCGCGUCAGUUUUUCGUCGACCUGCAAGUCGUUAACAGUGUAUCACAGUGACGAUCUGAAUUAAUUAAAUAGAGGAAAAUGGACGGAGGAAGAAGUGGAAAUGCUUAGAGGCUGCAUUAAGCGGUUUGCAGAGGAAUUGAAUAAGAUAACUCACCAUAUAAAAACUCGAACCAUAAACCGGCUUCGCACCAACUUGAAGGAAAAAGCG